ensembl:lncRNA C1orf220 chromosome 1 putative open reading frame 220
CCGCCGGGCCCCGCGCGCUGCAGCCACCGCCUCUUCUCGGCUUCCUCUUGCUUUACAGUAACUCUCCUCCUGGGGAAAAGGCUUUUCACGGAGCAGGCUCGGAGCCUACGGGGCUGGCCUCGGACUGGAUGGGGCAAAUACAGCCUAUGCUCAGAAUUUCUCCGACUUCCCAUCUCUGAGAUGCCGGAUGCCCAGUUCCACAGAAUCAUGGCAAGCGAGAAACUGUCGUUCAUAAGAGUUCAAGAAAAUGAAUAUUCUCUCAACUCUGUGAGGGCCAGUGGGUUCCAGAGGGUGCUCAACUUGCUGGAGUCAUCUCUGCUAUGGCUUUAUUUGCCAACAACAGAGAACUUGCUCUGCAGCAGCCCCAGGCUCUCUGGGGACCCCACAGGCUAUGCAGAUCCCCCACCCCAGAACCACAGAAGGAGACAGAGCAGAAGCACACCCCGUCUUCCAGGCCCAGGACAGCUGCUGAGCUCCAGGACACGGACUCUUGAAGGUUGAUUUUGACUACUUACUAAGCUCCAGCUGAACCAGUUCCACUUCUUUAACCUUCCCAUGAUCCCUGUGAGGGGUCUG